AUUGAACGCUGGCGGCAGGCUUAACACAUGCAAGUCGCGCGAGCGGCGGACGGGUGAGUAAUGUCUGGGAAACUGCCUGAUGGAGGGGGAUAACUACUGGAAACGGUAGCUAAUACCGCAUACCAUCGGAUGUGCCCAGCUGGGAUUAGCUAGUAGGUGGGGAAAAGGCUAACCUAGGCGACGAUCCCUAGCUGGUCUGAGAGGAUGCUCAUCCACACUGGAACUGAGACACGGUCCAGACUCCUACGGGAGGCAGCAGGGGAGAAGAUUGGACAAUGGGCGCAGUCCUGAUGCAGCCAUGCCGCGUGUAUGAAGAGGGCCUUCGGGUUGUAAAGUACUUUCAGCGGGGAGGCGUUACCCGCAGAAGAAGCACCGGCUAACUCCGUGCCAGCAGCCGCGGUAAUAG
rnacentral:rRNA from 1 species